CCGGGGGCCAGCUGGGAAUGCCGCUGCUGCCUCUUUCAGGAGGCCAGCCCCCAGCGCUGCCUCCACGGGCCAGUAGGGCAGGGACGCUGAUGAGUGCCCGUUCUUGCUUCUCAAGCUCUUAAGGCAACAAUUCCAUUACCAUCGCUAGUUCUCGCUCCAGCACAGGGAGGACGGAAUGGCUCUGCCUGUCAUCAGAUGAGGGGAGUCCACUCAGGGCUGUUAGUCCUUUAGCAAAGGCCACAGAUGGGUGAGCAGCAGAAACGACAUGGGAGCUGAGGCCGGGACCCACAGCCAACGUGCUUUUGCUCCAUCAAUUGAGAUGAUCAGUUUUUCUUUUUUAAAAAAAUCUUUUCAGAAGAUGAAUUACAUUCGUUAAUUUUCAAACGUUGAACCAACCUUUCACUUCUGGGCCUCUGGAAUUGAUGAACUUUCUCUGAGCUGUGACCCAGGUGGAUGGAUGUCAGAAAGCAUAUUCCGCUGGAAGGAAGAGCUGAGCAGUAGUGAAGUCAAGGACAUACAGAGCCAGAGUGUGAACAUGAGUCCUGCUACUUACUGCCUUGCAGUCUUACGGAAGUCACCAACCUCUCUCUAAGCCCUGAUUCCUUCCUCUGCUAAAUGGACGUGGCGGUAAGCUAGCCCACAUGUAUCAUAAGGCUGUUGUGAGGAUUCAACGAGGCACUUCAUGGUGUGCCUCGCACAUGGUAAGUCCCCAGCAAACAGAAUUAGCAGGACCUGACAGAUGGUUUCUGACAAUGUGUUUACCAAUACAGGGUUAACCAGAAUGUAAGUAUUUUGGGUGUUAACAGUAGAAAUAUGAAAAUGUUGAAAUAAAGACACUUAGGGAAAAAUGUCAAGUAAAUUACAACUUACAUUAAAG
rnacentral:lncRNA from 10 species